rnacentral:tRNA from 1 species
GUCAGGAUGGCCGAGUGGUCUAAGGCGCCAGAUUUAAGCUCUGGUCCUCGUACGAGGGCGUGGGUUCGAACCCCACUUCUGACA